UGAACCUUUAAGUUAAGAGUUAUUUCUUCUCCAAACCUCUGCUUCGACUACAACUUCUAGAUUUUUCCUUUUCUGUUCACUUCUCUCUCUCAAAUCUCUGCUUCCGUUGCACUCGAACUCCUUCUGUCGCUCUCAAACGCCGGCUAAGGUUACUCGGAGAAGUCUGUGUAGGGGCAAUAGAACAAGGUGGAUUGCAUUUCAAAGUGCAAAAAAUGCAGGGCAUGCCUCUCUAUGCGUUUCCAAUCUUCCAAAAAUCGUGUUCGUGGAGGCGAUGUGAGAUGUAUUUGAAGCUCGGCCACAGAUAUUAUUCAAAAUUUCAAAUUGGUGGAUUUGGUUGUGGAUCAGCAGCUCCAACUCAAGAUAUAGAUAAAAGAAUACAAGCUCUUGAAAAAAGGUAUAAUUUAUUAACCCUUUUGGCAGGUUAGGAAUAUGUACCCCUUUCCUUGCUUCAGUAUGACUAGAGAAAUUGUUUGGCAAGUUAGGAAUAUGUACCCUUUUCCUUGGGGUUUUCAGUGGUGUUUUUAAUAGAAUUACAUAUUUGAGUGAUGAGUUUUUUCAAUGGUGUUAAUUUUUUAACAAUUUAUGAUGCUAUUUGUAAAAUUUAGUCAGAAUUUUUAUUAACAACUAUUAUAUCGUUUUUUAUUCCAAUUCGUAAUUACUUCUUUUGUUAAAUUUAAGCUUGAUUAUUUUAGUAAAAUUUUAUAACCUAUGUCCAAAUACAUAUACAACACUGUAUAUGUAUAGUUUUCAUAAUGUUGUUGAGCAUUUUGAGUAUGCAUUUUUUGUGUAAAGAGUGAAGAAUAUAUUGUUCACAAUGGCAAAACAGGGAACAACUACUACUUCAUAUGGGAAGAAGAGGUUAGUUUAAUUGUAAUUUUUAUUUUAUUUGGUUAACUUGGAAGUUGGUUGGCUUGCAUCUAAUUCGAUCAUUUGAUGGCACUGGUUGAAGUCAUUGGUUUUAUUAAUGCUGGUGACUGAAAUCAAUCCAAGUUAAUGUUAAAACGAUAUCAUUAUUUUUGUUAUGGUGAGGACUGAGAACUUAUAA